rnacentral:rRNA from 1 species
UACCAGCACCCCGAGUGGUCGGGACGUUUAUUGGGCCUAAAGCAUCCGUAGCCGGUUCUACAAGUCUUCCGUUAAAUCCAACUGCUUAACAGGUGGGCUGCGGAAGAUACUAUAGAGCUAGGAGGCGGGAGAGGCAAGCGGUACUCGAUGGGUAGGGGUAAAAUCCGUUGAUCCAUUGAAGACCACCAGUGGCGAAGGCGGCUUCCUGGCCUGUUCUUGACGCUGAGGCGCGAAAGCUAGGGGAGCAAACGGG